rnacentral:lncRNA from 1 species
UGCCGCAGUCUGGCUGGGCACAAUCAGGAGCCACUUGUCAAAAGAAACUAACUUUAUUUUUAGAACCACACACGACAAACAAAAUAGUCUCUCAGGAAAAACCCUCAGAGCCUCAACUGCCACCACCAGCUUUCCCCAAGCCUCUCUCUCCCACACAAGCUUCUCUCCACCUCCCACAAUCCUCCUGCUCUUGAGGCCGAUUGGCUGGGUCACAUGGGCGGAGCCAAAAAAGUCCCCCAAUGAGCAGCUCCGUGGUCUGAAAGGGCAGGGAAACAGUCCAAUGAGCAUCACCGCAGAGGAGCCAAUCAGCUAGAUGUUGCUGGGGCCGCUGUGAGCCAAUCAUCAGCCAGCAGCUGGAAGUUUGCUGGCAGCUGGAAGUUUGCUGGGGCCCCUUUGGCUGUGGCUCUCAAC